UACAGAGGUGGCAAGCGUUGUUCGGAAUUACUGGGCGUAAAGAGCGCGCAGGCGGUCGUUCAAGUCGCGUGUGAAAGCCCCCGGCUCAACUGGGGAGGGUCACGCGAUACUGAUCGACUCGAAGGCAGGAGAGGGUAGUGGAAUUCCCGGUGUAGUGGUGAAAUGCGUAGAUAUCGGGAGGAACACCAGUGGCGAAGGCGACUCACUGGACAUGUAUUGACGCUGAGGUACGAAAGCGUGGGGAGCAAACAGG
rnacentral:rRNA from 1 species